AUUGAACGCUGGCGGCAGGCCUAACACAUGCAAGUCGAACGGAGUGGCGGACGGGUGCGUAAUGUCUGGGAAACUGCCCGAUGGUGGGGGAUAACUACUGGAAACGGUAGCUAAUACCGCAUACUAACAGAUGAGCCUAGGUCGGAUUAGCUAGUUGGUGGGGUAAAGGCCUACCAAGGCGACGAUCCGUACCUGGUCUGAGAGGAUGAUCAGUCACACUGGAACGGAGACACGGUCCAAACUCCUACGGGAGGCAGCAGUGGGGAAUAUUGGACAAUGGGCGAAAGCCUGAUCCAGCCAUGCCGCGUGAGUGAAGAAGGUCUUCGGAUUGUAAAGCACUUUAAGUUGGGAGGCGUUACCAACAGAAUAAGCACCGGCUAACUUCGUGCCAGCAGCCGCGGUAAUAC
rnacentral:rRNA from 1 species